UCUUCGAGGACACCCACCAUCACCGAACUUCUUCAGCCCGGCGCKCGCGUCGGGCUUUU
rnacentral:sRNA from 1 species